rnacentral:rRNA from 1 species
AUUGAACGCUGGCGGCAGGCCUAACACAUGCAAGUCGAGCGGAUGACGGGAGCUUGCUCCUUGAUUCAGCGGCGGACGGGUGAGUAAUGCCUAGGAAUCUGCCUGGUAGUGGGGGACAACGUUUCGAAAGGAACGCUAAUACCGCAUACGUCCUACGGGAGAAAGCAGGGGACCUUCGGGCCUUGCGCUAUCAGAUGAGCCUAGGUCGGAUUAGCCAGUUGGUGGGGUAAUGGCUCACCAAGGCGACGAUCCGUAACUGGUCUGAAAGGAUGAUCAGUCACACUGGAACUGAGACACGGUCCAGACUCCUACGGGAGGCAGCAGUGGGGAAUAUUGGACAAUGGGCGAAAGCCUGAUCCAGCCAUGCCGCGUGUGUGAAGAAGGUCUUCGGAUUGUAAAGCACUUUAAGUUGGGAGGAAGGGCAGUAAGCUAAUACCUUGCUGUUUUGACGUUACCGACAGAAUAAGCACCGGCUAACUCUGUGCCAGCAGCCGCCGCGG